UACGGAGGGUUCGAGCGUUGUCCGGACUCAUUGGGCGUAAAGGGCGCGUAGGUGGCUUCUUAAGCGUGCUGUGAAAGCCUGGGGCUCAACCCCGGGUCGGCCGUGCGAACUGGGGGGCUGGAGCACUGUAGAGGCAGGCGGAAUUCCGGGUGUAGCGGUGGAAUGCGUAGAGAUCCGGAAGAACACCAGUGGCGAAGGCGGCCCGCUGGGCAGUGGCUGACGCUGAGGCGCGACAGCGUGGGGAGCAAACAGG
rnacentral:rRNA from 1 species